rnacentral:rRNA from 1 species
AUUGAACGCUGGCGGCAUGCCUAACACAUGCAAGUCGAGCGAGCGGCGGACGGGUGAGUAAUGUCUGGGAAACUGCCUGUUGGCGGGGGAUAACUACUGGAAACCGUAGCUAAUACCGCAUACAAUCAGAUUUCCCCAGGUGGGGUUAGCUGGUGGGUGGGGUAACGGCUCACCUAGGCGACGAUCCCUAGCUGGUCUGAGAGGAUGAUCAGCCACACUGGAACUGAGACACGGUCCAGACUCCUACGGGAGGCAGCAGUGGGGAAUAUUGCACAAUGGGCGCAAGCCUGAUGCAGCCAUGCCGCGUGUGUGAAGAAGGCCUUCGGGUUGUAAAGCACUUUCGGCGGGGAGGCGUUACCCGCAGAAGAAGCACCGGCUAACUCCGUGCCAGCCGCCGCGGUAAUAC